rnacentral:rRNA from 1 species
GACGAACGCUGGCGGCGUGCUUAACACAUGCAAGUCGAACGGAAAGGCCCUGCUUUUGUGGGGUGCUCGAGUGGCGAACGGGUGAGUAACACGUGAGUAACCUGCCCUUGACUUUGGGAUAACUUCAGGAAACUGGGGCUCAUACCGGAUAGGAGCUCCUGCUGCAUGGGGGGGGUUGGAAAGUUUCGGCGGUUGGGGAUGGACUCGCGGCUUAUCAGCUUGUUGGUGGGGUAGUGGCGUACCAGGGCUUUGACGGGUAGCCGGCCUGAGAGGGUGACCGGCCACAUUGGGACUGAGAUACGGCCCAGACUCCUACGGGAGGCAGCAGUGGGGAAUAUUGCACAAUGGGCGGAAGCCUGAUGCAGCAACGCCGCGUGCGGGAUGACGGCCUUCGGGUUGUAAACCGCUUUCGCCUGUGACGAAGCGUGAGUGACGGUAAUGGGUAAAGAAGCACCGGCUAACUACGUG